rnacentral:rRNA from 1 species
UGGGGAAUAUUGGUCAAUGGGCGAAAGCCUGAACCAGCAAUGCCGCGUGAGUGAUGAAGGCCUUCGGGUUGUAAAGCUCUGUCAGUGGGAACGAAUAAACCGAUUAAUAACCGGCGAUGACGGUACCCACAAAGGAAGCACCGGCUAACUCUGUGCCAGCAGCCGCGGUAAUACAGAGGGUGCAAGCGUUGUUCGGAAUUACUGGGCGUAAAGCGCGUGUAGGCGGUCUUGUAAGUCGGACGUGAAAUCCCUUGGCUUAACCAAGGAACUGCGUUCGAAACUACUCGACUAGAGUAUCGGAGGGGAUGGUAGAAUUCCUGGUGUAGAGGUGAAAUUCGUAGAUAUCAGGAGGAAUACCUGUGGCGAAGGCGACCAUCUGGAAGAUUACUGACGCUGAGAC